UUGUGAACAAGAUAUUGCAUGCUACUGGUAUCUGAUCUUCCCAAAACUUAAAAACACUUUCUGGAAGACACACAUGACUUGUAACCAAGCAACCAGUUAAAGUUUCAAACCAUCCAAGACUGCCAUUAAUUCAGCCAUAUUUAUUAGUGCCCCUCCUGUAAUGUCUAGAAAAACUAACCAAAAAUCUCCCAGAAGCAUCCUUUCAGGGAGAGUUUGUUCAAAGGUUUAAAAGCAUCCUUACUUCUUCUUCUUUUUUAAAGAAGGUAUACAAACUUUACUCUUCCUUCCAAGGGUUAAGAAGGAACUGAAGCUUUGGACUACUAGUAGGUGUAUUAAGAAGGAACUGAACUAGAAUGUGUGUUUGAUAUAAAAUCCCCGACCUCUGUUUUUUCUUCUUCUAUUUUUUCAAAUCAAAGGAUGUCCAGCCACAUAAAUUCCAUCCAGACAAUUCUACACUGCCCAAGGACAAAGUACAUUUUUUUUCAUAAAAGAGAUACUUAUUUUAACAAUAAUAAAACAUAUCAGCUCAUAGUGCACGACUGAUGCAUUCACGAGGAUCAAAGACAUCAGUUCCCACCACUACCACCAAAGAGGUACCCCAGCGAAGAUCCA